CUGUGUGUUUAGUGUGUUUCGGUGAAGCUCUCCAAGUGUGUUGAAUCAGCGUGCCUAGCCUCAAGGGUGCAUCGUGAAAACUGAAACCAAAGGAAUGAUACAGGCCUGCUUUGUGUGUGUCUUCCCACUUUAAGCUUGUUUUCAGUACAAAUACUCUUGCUUUAAACCUGAUUGGACUGUGGCGAGCGGACAUCUGUUCAAAGGAGGGGCCGAGACCACAGUACUUCUGAAGGGGGCUUGAUAAUGUGGAAACAUUUUAAGUUUUCUCUCCGGACUGUUUUGCUCUCUCAAUUCAGGCAAGUUACUGAAGUACGUUUUUUAUCUAGAAAAAGGUUUGAUGUAGUCUGUAAAUGGUCCUUGUAAAGUACAUUGCCAUCUCAGAAUUAAAAGAUCCACUCUCAUUUAUUAUGCAGAAGUUAGUGGUCAUUCUUUCCUGUAGAUAGUUUAUCUCAUGUAAAGACCCACCCAGCUUGGUUUAAAUUUUUUUCUCACUGACGUAUAACCAUCAGCUUUGAUACUUCCAUUUUCAGGCUCAGACUUUGAAUUUAAGGAAACUAAAGAUGACUUUAUUUUCUUUUCUCUUGGUUUUUUUUUUCCAAAAACAAAAAAUAAAUCCAUUACAUGUUAACAUAGAUGAUAAGAGUGACAUCUUGCAUUUUUGCAAAUCUUUUUAAUGCCUGGUUUAAUAGAAGAUUCUCAGAUCUACGUCAGACUGUUGUGGUUAGCACACCAUGUAACCUCUGGAACACUCCACUGUACACUCAUACUUUUUUAAAAAAAAAACCAAAAAACAGAAAUGUGUCAUUCUUACCGUGCUUUCACCAUACAAGUCAAAUCAAGCUGUUAUGCAAGACACAUUUUAACAAGACUGAAUAAGAUUGAUUCCCAUACUUUUUUUACUGGGCUCUAACUUUUUUAAAAGUUGGAAUUUAGGUGACUAAACAAAAUCACAGAUGAAGACUGCAUAAUCUGCCUAUGAUCUCGGAGACUCAGGAACAUUCGAAGAUAUUCUUAAGUGAUUAAAACAUUUAAUUCUAUUACAUAUUUAUAAUGAUUUACACAAGUAACACGUGAAUUCCACAUAUGCUAUCAACACUUGUGUAAAUGUUAUCUUUAAAGAUAGAACAUGUUGAAAAUUAUAGGAGGUACAGAUUUUACAGAAAAUUAAUUCUGCAGUGAAUCCUUUGGUGAAACGAACAGUUUGCAGAGACAUAUCCUUAGAGUUCUUUGUCUCUCUGAAUCAUUCUGGGUUUUCUAGGUUGGGAGACAAUUAUACUUAUUGGGAGACAAUUAUACUUAAUUGAUUAAUGCAUAAAAAUUUAAGGCCGUAUUUUAAUGGCUUUGAAAGGAAGCUAAGUUUGUUUCCAGUUGUUUCUGUGAACUGUAGUCUGAAUCUGUCAGUCUAUAGUUCUCUACUGUUCCAUCAACAGGAAGCAUCUGGUCAUUCUUCGUGUAAUUGUUAGAAAAUACCAGGUGUACUUUUAAUGUUUGCUGUUCAAACGAAAAUAGAUUGGAUCUUGGUUAAGUUCACUUGGUUUGGCCAGGCACAGUGGCUCACGCCUGCAGUCCCAGCACUUGGGGAGGUGGAGGCGGGCCGAUCACCUGAGGUCAAGAGUUUGAGACCAGCCUGGCUAACGCGGUGAAACCCCAUUUCUACUAAAAAUACAAAAAAUUAGCUGGGCGUGGUGGUGCGCGCUUGUAAUCCCAGCUACUCGGGAGGCUGAGGCAGGAGAAUCGCUUGAGCCAGAGAGGCAAAGGUUGCAAUAAGCCAAGAUAGCGCCAUUGCAUUCCAGCUUGGGCAACAGGAGCGAAACUCUGUCUCAAAAAAAAAAAAAAAAGUAUGCUUGGUUUUAGUGUGUUUUUUCCCAUAACAUUGUGUCAUUGUAAUGGACCACAUCUCCUGUACCAUGAAUUUUUUUUUACUUUUUUCUUUUGCCCCUCAGUACCAGAAAUAUUAACAGGUAACAGGUAAAGUGCACGUCAUGAGGAAUUCAGAAAUUCAGAAAUUACAUGAAGUUUUGCAUCAUGAAUUUAUUUUUGAGGGUGCACGAGGCAGUUACCCAGUCUCUGUUUGCAAGUAGCCUGAGUUCAGAUGAACUCACUGAUGGCCUCCAUCUCUUCUGACUUUGCAAACGUUGAAAAACAAACCCACACAAAAUCUUGAAGUUGAGAGCAACUUAGUUUCCUUAGUGUCAUCCCUCUGCUCCCCUCUCCUCCCCAACAACUAGUAUGGUUUCCAGCUAGUAAUCACAAUGUUUCUAUAGCUCUGAUGUGCCUACAUUGGGAUAGCUACAAUUAGUAUUAUAGUUUUCUGAAGAUGUUUGUUCCAUCAUGCUUUCUAGAAGGUAAAUCUAGCACUAGAUGAGAUCAGUAUUAGGGCCUGUGUUUUUUCUCAGUGUUGACAUCACAGUGCUCUAUACAAAGAAGAUGCUUUGGUGCAAUCAGCUGUCAGUUCAGUUGGUGGGCUAGUGCACCUUUCUGUCUCCCUCCCUCCCUCCCUCCCUCCCUCCCUCUUUCCUCUCUCCUUCUCCCUCUGUCCCUCUCCCUCUCUCUCCUUCCCUCCCUGUUUUCCCCUUUGCACCUCUUCUUUCUUUGACAGGGUCUUGCUUUCUCUGUUACCCAGGCUUAGUGCAGUGGUGCGAUUAUACUUCACUGCAAGCUCCACCUUUCAGGCUCGAGCGAUCCUGCCUCUGCCUCAGCCUCCUGAGUAGUUGGGACUACAGCACUUCCCAUGUAUCCAAACAGAGGAAAAAAUAAUUAGUAGUAUAGUGCUUGCUUCAGCAGCACAUAUACUAAAAUUGGAACGAUGCAGAGAAGAUUUUCAUGGUCCCUGCACAAGGAUGACACAUAAAUUUAUGAUGUGUUCCA
rnacentral:lncRNA from 1 species